rnacentral:rRNA from 1 species
UACGUAGGGGGCAAGCGUUGUCCGGAUUUAUUGGGCGUAAAGAGCGUGUAGGCGGCCAUACAGGUCCGUUGUGAAAACUGGAGGCUUAACCUCCAGACGUCGAUGGAAACCGUAUGGCUAGAGUCCGGAAGAGGAGAGUGGAAUUCCUGGUGUAGCGGUGAAAUGCGCAGAUAUCAGGAAGAACACCGGUGGCGAAGGCGGUUCUCUGGGCAUUACCUGACGCUGAGGAGCGAAAGUGUGGGGAGCGAACAGG